rnacentral:rRNA from 1 species
UAGGGCAUCUUCCGCAAUGGACGCAAGUCUGACGGAGCAACGCCGCGUGAGUGAAGAAGGAUUUCGGUUCGUAAAACUCUGUUGUUAGAGAAGAACAGCGCAUAGAGUAACUGUUAUGCGUGUGACGGUAUCUAACCAGAAAGCCACGGCUAACUACGUGCCAGCAGCCGCGGUAAUACGUAGGUGGCAAGCGUUGUCCGGAUUUAUUGGGCGUAAAGCGAGCGCAGGCGGUCAAUUAAGUCUGAUGUGAAAGCCCCCGGCUCAACCGGGGAGGGUCAUUGGAAACUGGUUGACUUGAGUGCAGAAGAGGAGAGUGGAAUUCCAUGUGUAGCGGUGAAAUGCGUAGAUAUAUGGAGGAACACCAGUGGCGAAGGCGACUCUCUGGUCUGUAACUGACGCUGAGGCUCGAAAGCGUGGGUAGCAAACAGG